UUCUUUAUCCACUCGCUGAUUGAUGGGCAUUUGGGCUAGUUCCAUAUUUUUGCAAUUGCGAAUUGUGCCGCUAUAAAUAUGCACAUACAAGUGACUUUUUCAUAUCAUGACUUAUUUUCCUCUGGGUAGAUACCCAAGGAAUUUUGCAUCUAUAUUUCUGAUGGAAAUUGAUCUAUAAUUUUUCUUUCCUUUAAGAUCUUUGUCAACUAUAGGUUCAUGCUGGUCUCCUAACAUGAGUUUGGAAGGGUUCUCUCCUCUUCUAUUCUUCUGAAAGGGUUUCUGUAAAUUCUAUUAUACCAUACUUAAGGGUUUAUUAGAAUUAACUAGUGAAAGCAAUUCAGCCUAGAGAGCUCGUCUUUCUGGGAGAUUUUUGACUACAAACCAAUUGCCUUUAUAGACGUAAGACUCCUCAGAUUUUAUUCCUCUUUGUGUUGGUUUCAUGAAGUUAUUUUUAAGAAAUUUGCAUAUUUUAUCUAAACUAGUUAUUCAUAAUAUCUUUGUGAUGUAUGUAAGAUUUGCAUCCCAUUUCAUUCCUGAUACUGGAGUGAAAUUCGUGCAUGGGUGUGUUUUUCUUGAUCAGCCUUGAUAGGGGUUAUCAAUUAGAGAACCAACUUUUGCCUUUGCUGAUCGUGUUCCCUUUCAUUGAGUUUUGGUCUUUAUUGUUACCUUCCUUUACUUAUUUUGUUUAAAUAUUCAUUUAUUUUCUACAUUCUUAUGAUUAAAAUUUAGAUAGCUGAUUUGAAACCUUUCUGCUAAUAGAGGCAUUUAAAGUUAUAACUGUUCUCCUUAGCUACAUCUCAUACAUUUUGGUUUUUAAUCUUCUUUAAAAAUGAAGAGAUAGCAUCUCCCUGUGUUGCCCAGGCUGGUCUCGAACUCCUGGGCUCAAGGGAUCCUCCUGCCUUGGCCUCCCAAAGUGCUAGGAUUAUAGGCAUGCGCCACUAUGCCCGGCCUGCAUCCCACACACAUUCUGAUAUAUUGUGUUUUCACUAUCAUUCAGUUCAAAAUAUUUUCUAAUUUCCUUUGUGUUUCUUCUUUGACUGAUGGGUUAUUUUGAAGUAUGUUGUUUAAUUUCCCAAGAAAAUUUUAAUUUUGGGAUUUUUAGGCAUAUUAUCACUGUUGAUAUUCCAUUCCAUUUCUGUGUCAUCAGAGAACAUAGUCUGUAAUAUUUAAAUCUUCAAAUUUCUUUUAUAGCCCAGCAUGUGAUCCAGCUUGAUCCCAGCAUAUGAUCCAGCUUGAUGAACGUUCCCUGUGCACAUGAAAAGAAUGGAUAUUCUUCUGUUGUUGGCUGUAGUGUUCUAUGUCAGCCAUCCCUGUGGGGAUGUCAGUGAUGCUCAGGCCCCACUACCUGCACCAUUGUCCUACUGCAUCUCCUUUGAGCCUCCUGUCAACCUCUGCACACAGGGCCUCAGCCCCUAGCCCCGGAUGCCCACCACUAGACCCAGCAGAACCGUAGCAGUGGUUUGCUGGCCCAGCACCUAAAGCCGCACAAUACGCCUCCUUGGCCCUCAGGGAAAGAUGCAGAGCUAGUGCAACUUACUCUUCUCCACUACAAAAGUAAGGACAUUUGUCGCUGGAUUUAGGGCCCGCCCAGAAUCCAGGAGGGGCUCAUCUUCAGAUCCUUAAUUACAUCUGCAAAGACCCUUUAUCUAGAUGAGAAAGUCUAGCCUCUGCCUGGCCCAGCCUUGUAUUUUGGGAAGAGACGACUGUUUCUAGCUGUGCAGGUUCACCGUGGAGGAGAGGUGAGUUCUGCCCCAGGUGGGACCCGCCCACAGCUCACCCACAUCGGAGGGCACUGGCUUCACUUGGACAUCUGGGGCUCAGAACUGAUGCUGGAAUGGGCUAGGACUUCGGGGGAUGCAGUGAUGGAGGGGUGUAUUUUGCAUGUGGGACAGAUGUGGAUUUGGGGGGCCAGAGGGCAGACUCUAAUGGGUUGAACGGUGUCUCCCCAAAUCCAUGUCCUCCCUGAACCUCAGAAUGUGAGCUUCUUUGGAAACAGAGUCUGCAGAUAGUUCAGAUGUGGUUAAUCCAGUAUGACCAGCAUCCCCAUAAGAGACACACACACGGAGAGAGAGCGCCGUGUGGCGCAGGCACAGAUUAGAGUGCCACGUCCACAGUCAGGGCACGCCAAGGACGGCAGCCACAUGAGUGGGUGGUGGAGAGAAGGGCCUGGAGUGCACGCUCCCCCCGAGCCCCCGAGGGAAGCAGCUCUGGUGACACCUUGGUUUUGGACCUCCGGCCUCGAGAACUGUGAGAAAAUUAAAUUCUGUCAUUUGAAGCCAUCCAGUUUGGGGGAAUGCACUGUGGAGUGCUUGGACCACACCAUGAAACCAGCACAUGGUGACCUGUGGGCCCGCUGGUGCCAACCCUGCGCGUGCCUAUUAGGAGGGAGGCCUAAGAGGCUAAGGCAGGAGGGCACGAGGGCGUGCGGCUGGCUCUCGGGAGCAUGGGGACGCAGUCAGGCAAGUGAGACCUGGAGGGGAGACGGGGUGGCGGGCCCUCCACCCUACCUGCUUCUUCACCCGGAUCAUGCAGAUGAUCUCAGAGCAGUCCUUGAGGGGCACCCUCUGCGGGGGCUGGGCCAGGUCCUUCGGGCUCCAGAUGUAAACCUCGCUGCGUCCUGCACAGGCCGCCCACAGCUGCUCCUGCUGAAACACAGGGCAUGGUGUGGGCUGUGGGCCCCAGGCCACGCGCAUGCUAGGCCCACAGCCCCUGCUGGGAUACCUCGGGAAGGAGCUGGAAGGCCAGGAAGGAGGUACUGAUGUCUUUGAAGUGCUCCUCAAUCUUUAAUUCUUGACAGAGGAAUCCAUUCGUUGUCAUGACCAUGAUGCUGUUACCUGUGCCUGCAGAAGGAAGGCGUUAGGAUGGGGCUAGGCAGCGCCAUUGGCAACGUAAGAGGCCAGCACCAGAGCCGGGCCCACUGCUCUUUCCAGCGUGGUGACAGCGGGAUCGCCAUGUGCCACAUGGCGCCUGAGGUGCGUACUGGUGA